rnacentral:rRNA from 1 species
CCUCUGAGAGGGGGAUAGCUUCUGGAAAACGGAUGGUAAUACCCUAUAACAUACAUAUGCCGCAUGACGUAUGUAUCAAAAGAUUUAUCACUCAGAGAUGGGCUCGCGUCUGAUUAGAUAGUUGGUGAGGUAACGGCUCACCAAGUCGACGAUCAGUAGCCGGACUGAGAGGUUGAACGGCCACAUUGGGACUGAGACACGGCCCAGACUCCGUACGGGAGGCAGCAGGUGGGGAAUAUUGCACAAUGGGGAAACCCUGAUGCAGCGAUGCCGCGUGGAGGAAGAAGGUUUUCGGAUUGUAAACUCCUGUCUUAAAGGACGAUAAUGACGGUACUUUAGGAGGAAGCUCCGGCUAACUACGUGCC